CCUACGGGAGGCAGCAGUGGGGAAUAUUGCGCAAUGGGCGAAAGCCUGAUGCAGCGACGCCGCGUGAGGGAUGAAGGUCUUCGGAUCGUAAACCUCUGUCAGCAGGGCAGCACGGUCACUGUGCUAAUCAGCAGUGAAUUGACGGUACCUGCAAAGGAAGCACCGGCUAACUCCGUGCCAGCAGCCGCGGUAAUACGGAGGGUGCGAGCGUUAAUCGGAAUUACUGGGCGGAAAGCGCUCGUAGGCGGUAUGUCAAGUCAAGGGUGAAAUCCCCGCGCUCAACGUGGGAACUGCCUUUGAAACUGGCAGACUAGAGUGUGUGAGAGGAUAGUGGAAUUCCAGGUGUAGGAGUGAAAUGCGUAGAUAUCUGGAGGAACAGCAGUGGCGAAGGCGGCUAUCUGGCACAUAACUGACGCUGAGGAGCGAAAGCGUGGGUAGCAAACAGGAUUAGAUACCCUAGUAGUC
rnacentral:rRNA from 1 species